rnacentral:rRNA from 1 species
AGAAUCAUAGAAAGAGGCUUCGGCCAAUUGAAGUAGAGGACAGUGGCGGACGGGUGAGUAACGCGUGAGCAACCUGCCUCGGAGUGGGGGACAACAGGGGGAAACCUCUGCUAAUACCGCAUAAUGUCAUUGGGUGGCAUCACUUAAUGACCAAAGAUUUAUUGCUCUGAGAUGGGCUCGCGUCUGAUUAGGUAGUUGGUGAGGUAAUGGCUCACCAAGCCUACGAUCAGUAGCCGGGUUGAGAGACUGAACGGCCACAUUGGGACUGAGAUACGGCCCAGACUCCUACGGGAGGCAGCAGUGGGGAAUAUUGGGCAAUGGGCGAAAGCCUGACCCAGCAACGCCGCGUGAAGGAAGAAGGCUUUCGGGUUGUAAACUUCUUUUACCAGGGACGAAGGACGUGACGGUACCUGGAGAAAAAGCUCCGGCUAACUACGUGCCAGCAGCCGCGGUAAUACGUAGGGAGCAAGCGUUGUCCGGAUUUACUGGGUGUAAAGGGCGUGUAGGCGGAGACGCAAGUCAGGAGUGAAAUCCCCGGGCUCAACCCGGGAACUGCUUUUGAAACUGCGUCCCUUGAGUAUCGGAGAGGCAGGCGGAAUUCCUAGUGUAGCGGUGAAAUGCGUAGAUAUUAGGAGGAACACCAGUGGCGAAGGCGGCCUGCUGGACGACAACCGACGCUGAGGCGCGAAAGCGUGNGGAGCAAACAGGAUUAGAUACCCUGGUNGUCCACGCCGUAAACGAUGAAUACUAGGUGUGGGGGGUCUGACCCCCUCCGUGCCGGAGUUAACACAAUAAGUAUUCCACCUGGGGAGUAC